UUUUCAGGUAUUGACACUGACAAGUACAACUAUCCAAUUGGCUCUGGCAGAGUUACAUUCAACAAUGUUCAGUCCUACAGGAAAGCUGUUAGAGCAGAAUUUAUACAGAUAAAAACUCCAAAAUUUAAAAAGAAGGUACAAGUUGACCCAUACCUAGCAGACACUCUCUGCCAGCUGUGUGGCAUGCAUCUGGGCCCAUAUUUCUGCCGUGAUGAGAAUUGCUUCAAGUAUUUCUGUCUAUCUUGCUGGCAGUUGACUCACCCAGUUGAUGCACAUGGUGGCCAUAAGCCAAUAAUGAGAAGUUCAAAGUUGCGUACUCAGACAACUCUCAGCCGUGUUAUAUAACUUUCCACAAGCCAGAUCCUGCCAUGUUUGUUGAUUUUCUAGAUUAUAAAAUUUUAUUUUGUAACUUGAAUCUAUAUUGUUUCUAUUAAUGUGGAAUUCUAUAUUGAAUACAAUUGUUUUUGUACUUUGCAUUCAAAAAAUGGAUGUGCUUGUCUUUUGGCAAGACUAAUUUUAGUAAAUUUGUUUUUAUGUGGAUUUAAAAGGUGGCUUUACCUAUAACCAUUGAUAGACAACUGCAGUGUUGGUGUAUGGUUUUAUUAUAGUAGCACUUGGUACAAGCCUAGGAAAAAUAUUCAUAGUAUUCACAAUAGGAUUCCAACAGCUUUUAACAGGCCAGUUUAGACUAGUUUUAAUAGUGCACAAUGACAUUAGUAUUAUCCCAACAUUUUAACAUUUACAUCAUGCUUAAAGCUGUAUGGAAAAGCCUCUUGGCUUUCUUUUUUUUUUUUUUUUUUUUUUUUUUUAAGCCUGAUUUUUUAGUGCAGUCCACCAAAGCACUUUUAUUCCUUUUUGGUUCUUAUUUGUGUUGGGCACAAAAUUGUAGGAAGUGCAGCCAUGAUUUUAUUUCAUUUAGUGUCUUGAUCAAUCAAGUUUAGGCAAAGGUUGGUGGUUUUAGGUAGAGCACAAUUUGUCCCAAAUUUUAAUUGAAUUUCUUCAUUUAAGUUUUUUCUUUAUUUUAAUGUGAAUUCCACAUAGAAAAAAAAAGGCAAGAUAUGAGAAGAAACAGCUGUAGUAUCAUUACUUCCAACUGGAAGUUUUAGUUUAUAUUUAAAGAUACUGUUUAUAUAAGGUGUGGUAUAAAGUGGUAA